rnacentral:rRNA from 1 species
AUUGAACGCUGGCGGCAUGCUUUACACAUGCAAGUCGAACGGUAACAGGGUGCUUGCACCGCUGACGAGUGGCGAACGGGUGAGUAAUGCGUCGGAACGUGCCGAGUAGUGGGGGAUAACGCAGCGAAAGUUGUGCUAAUACCGCAUACGUACUGAGGUAGAAAGUGGGGGACCUUCGGGCCUCACGCUAUUCGAGCGGCCGACGUCUGAUUAGCUAGUAGGUGAGGUAAAGGCUCACCUAGGCGACGAUCAGUAGCGGGUCUGGGAGGAUGAAGCGCAGAAGUGGGACUGAGACACGGCCCAGACGCCGACGGGAGGCAGAAGUGGGGAAUUUUGGACAAUGGGCGAAAGCCUGAUCCAGCCAUGCCGCGUGUCUGAAGAAGGCCUUCGGGUUGUAAAGGACUUUUGUCAGGGAGGAAAUCCCUAGUGCUAAUAACACUGGGGGAUGACAGUACCUGAAGAAUAAGCACCGGCUAACUACGUGCCAGCCGCCGCCGUAA